CAUAGGUCCCCAGCUGCCACCACACAUGAACAAGAGUUCUCUUCAUGUUAAUGGAUCUCUGAGGGACUAUCCCACAAGCUCCAAGCCCAGCACGGUGGGGAAACCAAACCAUGGACUAGCUUCUUCUGCUUCCCUCUCCCACUCAGUAAGUCAGCCCACAAUGAUUCUAGACAGCGACAAACAACAGAAGCUUUCAUUUUCAAUUGGGCAAAGCAAACCGAACCGCCCAUCUGCUUCUUCCUCCUCUUACUGCCAGCCGUCCUCCGCCAGCAGCUCCUCCUCCUCCAGCUCUUUGUCCUCCUCACAGUCUACCUCAGACAUCCAACCAGACGUUCGUUUUAUUCCGCGUCCACUAAACCAAGUCAGCGGCAUGCCUUUCAGUAAUGGGGAUCAGAACCCUGUAGGAAACGGGGCGUCCUUCCUGGUGCCGGAUAGCCAAGAGGAAUCAGACAAAGAGAACUGUGACACUCUGGAUAACGGCAGUUCAUCCAAGUCUCAUCCUAAUGAAAAUAAAGACACAGGAAAUGUCUUUGAUAAUUCUCCCAAAACCGCCAAUGGGGAGUCAGGAGUGCACCAUCACGGCAAUGGAUUAAAUGGACAAGCGUAUGGAGACUUCAAAUCCAGCCAAAAUGGGCACCACAAUGGUCAUCACAAAGUGAAUGGACACAGCGGCCCUGACAAGGUAAAUCUUGUCUUUAUUUUUAUAAGUUCAAGGGCUCCCCGCCACGGGCUCACCUUUCCUCUCCAGACAAAGAGGAUCAAAAUCGCAAGAGGACUCUCAGCAAAGACUUUUUUUUUUUUUUUUUUUUAAACAAAGUUGCAAAAACUUAACUCAAGGCAACCCACUGCAUUUACGUUUUUAGGUUCUGAUGGAUCACUUAUAAUUUCAAGUUUAGGAGAAAAGUUGCUUCAACUAAUGUUUUUGUGUUUACAAGAUUAAUAACUGCUUUUUCUUCUCAUAUUUUAUUGUUUUAAGCAAUGUAUUUCCUAAAGUUUACACAAGGUAUUAGUUUUAGUUUACGCAACAUUUUGUUUUGCCAAUCAAUUUCCUAAAGUCUAGAAAAAGUAUCCUUUAUAGUUUCCCUGUUGUAUUAAUGAAUGUUUACACAAUGUUGAUUUUCAAAUAACUUUAUUGUAUUCAAACACAAUUGCACCACUGACAAUGUUUUGAGAUGAGCCAUUUUUAACAUACUGACAACAUUCAGCCACAAAUAAAGUCCUUUUCCCAAAAAAAAAAAAAAAAAAAAAAAAAAGCCAAAUUCUUGUAAUAAAUGUUACAAUUUUAAAGGUGUGGUAUUGUCAGACAGAAUAUCAAACCUAUCUUGAUUGAUAGUCACUAACAAACAGAUUCAAAACAUCAGAUGGCAGGAUGUGAACUCUUCUAUCUGGUUUCCAUACAGCAAACAAAUGUGUACUUGAGUUCUUUGGGAAACUCCAUGUUGAGUCCAUAAAGUAGGCCAGGUAGGCAAAGGCAGUGGGAAGGUCUGGCAGAUCAUCAAGAAUAAUGUUCUCUUCCAAAACAAUGGCAGUGUUGACCCCUGUGGACUGCGAGUUGGGUCCCACGUAGUCCUCCAGAACAGUGAGGAUGCCCACCGUAACACCUCAGGUUGCCCUCUCAACUGGAUCUGUAUCCUAUGCAAAAUUAACAACAGUACAUAUAAGUCUCUGUAAACUAAAACUGAAGAUUGAGUAGAUUUGCAUACUCACCAGACAUGUUAAGAAGAGUUUGGUCUCGUCGUCGCGAACAAAUAUCAGUAACCCUUCCAAACUGAUGGUUCGUUGAUGCUGGACUAUGUUUGAGACCUAAAACAAGGAAAUCAAAUAAGACUCAGACUCAUUUAUAAACCUACCAUUUUGUUUUUAAAACACAUUAAGUGUUGUUGCUAAAAAUACAGCCUUAUAAAAUAAGAUGUUAAAAUUAGUUAUUCCAGAUAAUUGCUCAUGGUUUUGUCAGUGUUUUUAAAGUAAUUUUGAUGCACAACCAAUGUAGCACACUUAUGACAACAUUUUUUGAAUGCAUUUAUAACAAAAAGUGGAAUGAGAGUUGAACUCUCCGUCAUGACCUGCCAUCUGCCAAACACACAACGCUGCUUGUUAGCUUAUAAUCCCCAUUCAGGAGGACACACUUUUUGAAAACUAAUUUUAUAUCAAUUUGGGAACUUCAUGCACAAGUUUUGCAAACAAAGUUAUAUGGUACUAUUUACCUAAAAAUGCAGCCAAGGCCUCAGGCGUUUUUUAUAUAACCAUUUAAAUCUAUUUACAAAACAAUCAGGUGUUCUGCAUCAAAUAAGAAGGCACACAAAUUAUUUGUGCCAGUCCAAGAAAAAAAAAAAAAAAAAAUAGUUUGUGUUCAGUAUAAGACAGGAGAACACCAAAGGCCUAAACCCUGCAGGUCUGGCAACAGGUGUAUCAGUCCUGUUUUCCAUGUGGGAACAGCGUUUACAAUGGAAUCUGCUUUUGAUGGCUUUUUUUGAAGCAAAUGUGACAUUGAGCAGUAUAACUGACACACAAUACAAAACAAUAACUACACAACACACUAACUACAGCCUCCAAACAUGCUAAACGUCACUAAUGUCUCACAUAUGAAAACUCGCGCUCUCUUUCUUUUGUUCGCCCGCUUUCCGUCGCGGGUGUCACUCCUAAAACGGCCCCUUCUUCCUAAACAACCAAGUGCCACAUGUUGCCAUAUCAUUUUUGAUUGGCUGACAUGGUAAACUCUAACACCAAUAGGGAAGGGGUGUUUUUUGUUUCGCUUUUUUUUUUUUUUUUUUUUUACUCGUAAGUAGAGUGUUUGCUAGCGCGGUCGUAGAAAACGCAGUUUUUUCCGUUCUUCUCGCUGUAAACACCACUGUUUUGUUAAAAAACACAUCGCGUGUAUUUUUUAAUCAUAACUCUGGUUUUACGUGGCCUAUCGACACAAUUCAAAAACUGGUGUAUAGUUUGAAGUCCGCACUUUCGACCCAAGUUGAAAUAGAGACUGAGUUGCUGCAUCGUCUUAAAUUGGUCAUGUGAUUUUGACGUGCCCCCAGAGAGUUAAAGUCUGUUUGAUAUGACUCUUGCAGACUCUAGUCUGCCUUCGUAUUUAAAAUACCCCCAUAUUUACUGCUCUGCUGCUUGUGCUCUGUAGCUGCUUCUCCGAUCUUCCUCUCCCUCCUGUUUGUGUGUUU
ensembl:lncRNA